rnacentral:miRNA from 1 species
GGAUGCACUGUUUAAUUUGAAUUUCAAAUAACAAGGAGUGAUUGUUUAGUAUAAGUAUGUCCCAUGCAAUAUUUGGGACAUACUUAUACUAAAAAAAAUGUUUGCUA